rnacentral:lncRNA from 1 species
UAGCUUACUAGCUGAGCCCCAACUCUCAAAACUGCACACUGGCUUGUUAGGUGGAGGAAUUGUAGUUCCUCACUGAAGGAAGACAGGACAGGAAUUCAAACAGGGCAGAUGCUAAUGCAGAGGCCAUAGAGGGGUGUUGCUUACUGGCUUGCUUCCCUUGGUUUGAUUAGCCUUAUUGAUGUCUUAUGGAACUUGGCCACCAGCCUAGAAAUGGCACCACCUACAAUGAGCGGGUUCCUCCCUCAUCCAUCACUAAUUAAGAAAAUAUCUUGCAUCUUAUGAAGGCAUUUUCUUUUCAGUUGAGGUUCCCUCCUUUGAAAUUACUUUUAACAUGUGUCAACUUGACAUUAGACUAGCCAGCACAAUUGACCCCUUGCCAACUUGACAUACACACCUCACUAUUAAGCCACAGUCCUUUCUUUUUUAUCCCCAAGAUCUCACAUUAAACUCUAAAAGUCCCAUAGUCUUUACAACUUAAAAUGAUUUAACAUUUCGGCCUCUUUAAACUUGCCAGAGUCUUUUAGUUGUGGGCUCCUGUAAAAUCAAAAAUAAAUACCAACAUGACCCAGGGACACCCAAGAACUUUCCCAAGCCAGAAUUCCAGAUACAGAGAGAAGACAGUGCCCUCCCCUCAGGCUGCCCUUACUGCCAGUGACCCUGGAGUGUUACAGUGUACAGAUGGUCUGGACUGGGAUAGACAGGAAAAGUGCAAAAUAUAUAGUGGGUUUCAAAGAUCCAAGAUGAGAAACAAACUGUAAAAAUCGUUUUAUUUCCUAAAAAGAAAAAAAGAAAAAAAUGUAUAGUGUUCUGGGCGUGGUGGCACCCACCUUUAAUCACAGCACUUGCAAAACAGGCAGGUGGAUCUCUUGAGUUCAAGGCCAGCUUGGUCUACAUAGUGAAUUCCAGUACAGCCAGAGCUAUAUAGGGAGACCCUCUCUCAACAAAACAAAACAAAACACCAGCUGUACAACUAAACACAGCUACUACAUGGAGACUGAAGCAAAUGGACUGUGAACCUACUGGACGAUGCUGCCUUCAAAUAUAAAUAUAAAUAUGUAUUAUACUUGGAUCUAUUGAGGCAAAUAAGAAAUGGUACUAAAGC